rnacentral:rRNA from 1 species
GGGUCAGCAGGUUGGUCGUGCCAAUGGUAUGCACUGGCCUUGCUGAUUCCUCCCUCUUGAUGAGCCGUAAUGUCAUUAAUUUGGUGUUGCGGGGAAUCAGGACGUUUACUUUGAGAAAAUUAGAGUGUUCAAAGCAAGCGUUCGCUUGAAUACAUUAGCAUGGAAUAAUGGAAUAGGGCUCCGGUUCUAUUUUGUUGGUUUUCAGCUACCGAAGCA